rnacentral:rRNA from 1 species
CGGCGGACGGGUGAGUAAUGCCUAUGAAUCUGCCUGGUAGUGGGGGACAACGUUCCGAAAGGGACGCUAAUACCGCAUACGUCCUACGGGAGAAAGCAGGGGACCUUCGGGCCUUGCGCUAUCAGAUGAGCCUAGGUCGGAUUAGCUAGUUGGUGAGGUAAUGGCUCACCAAGGCGACGAUCCGUAACUGGUCUGAGAGGAUGAUCAGUCACACUGGAACUGAGACACGGUCCAGACUCCUACGGGAGGCAGCAGUGGGGAAUAUUGGACAAUGGGCGAAAGCCUGAUCCAGCCAUGCCGCGUGUGUGAAGAAGGUCUUCGGAUUGUAAAGCACUUUAAGUUGGGAGGAAGGGCAUUAACCUAAUACGUUAGUGUUUUGACGUUACCGACAGAAUAAGCACCGGCUAACUCUGUGCCAGCAGCCGCGGUAAUA